AGCAAAUAGCCGGACCAGGUUGAUCCAUUAAUCAUCAACAGACUCGACAAUGAUUUGUUUGUUGAGAUCAAACAAUACUAUUCAUCAUGCACUAAGCGAUGGAGCAAAACAUGGUCGAGUCUAUUCUGGCCCCCCGGAUCUGGUCUGGUUAGUCGCUGCUAAUUUAGGGGUCAAUAUAUCCCACUGUAACGGUACGCAACGCAUGAAACGUCCUGCAAGAGUAAUGGUCACGCACUCAUUCUCGAUUUUCGACAUAAUAAUAUUACACGUGUACGAAAGGAGUCGAAACAAUAGCAUUGCAACCAUGGUUCUAUACAUAGUACUGAACUGGGCGAUCCUUAUAAUGACGUCUUCUGCGCAUGUGAGAUGGUCGCUUGAUUAAAGGUCUAGGUGUGUUGUUCGUCCGCCAGAAAUUAUCCACAAAUUGUUGCUGUGUCGAUACAGACAGCCCCCUGUACACCAUUACGAACGAACGUGAGCGACUUCUCAAUCAUCAGUUGUAACAAAACGAUGAUUUGUCUCUUCCUACUUGGUGAUUUAUCGCAGAAAUUGGAAAUAAUUAAAAAGAACACCUCGCAUAUGUUUUCUGCCACGACAUGGCAUUACUGAGCCAGAGAUACCUAAUACCUUAUCUCGCUGAUGCAACAAUUGUCGUACUAUGAAUGGUGGCGGCAGGUUCUCAUCAUACAAGGCACGCAGCGAUUUAACCCAGAUACUAUUGAGUAAGCGCGGCCAGCAGAUCUAAGCCUAUUCAUGAUGCCCAUCUAUAUAAGACUUGUUCUUGCUGUUAGUGAUAGUUGGUCUGGAAUGCGCUGCGAAUAUACUUCAAUUUUAUCUCCACAGUUGAAUAUGGCAUGACAAAUAGCUUACAUUUCAAGUCGAUUUUGGAGGAUGUGUCGACAAUUAUGGACAUUCUAUACCAUCAACUUCUAGUCAUGACGAUAAGAACAAUUCUUAGUAUACACCAUCAUCAUCAUCAUCAUCACGCAUUUCCCCCAAUAAAAUAACACAGACCGCGUCUGACUGGUCGACACAACGACCGUCAUGGGUGUCAAAGCCGAAAGCCUCCUCUCUCCCAUUCAACUCGGCCACGAAAUCAUCAGCU
rnacentral:lncRNA from 1 species